CCAGGAGGACGGGCGACCGCCUCGGUCUUUGGACCGGGGAGGAAAGUCCGAGCUCCACCGGGCAGGGUGCUGGGUAACUCCCAGGCGCGGUGACGCGACGGAAAGUGCCACAGAGACAGACCGCCUAUCUGGAAACGGAUGGGUAAGGGUGAAACGGUGCGGUAAGAGCGCACCAGCGGCCGGGUGACCGGUCGGGGCCAAGGAUGGCCUCCCAUCGCUUUCGGGCGGUGGGACUGGGCAAACCCCACUCGGAGCAAGACCGAAUAGGAGGGCUUAAGGGACGCCCGGCCUGCCCUCGGGUUGGUCGCACGAGGCUUCGAGCAAUCGGAGUCCCAGAUGGAUGGUCGCCGUCCCUCUUUCGAGGGGGACACAGAACUCGGCUUAUAGUCUUGCUGGCCAG
rnacentral:RNase_P_RNA from 1 species